ensembl:lncRNA
GGUAAAGUUAUAAAUUAAAAAAGCAAUAGGCCACCUAAGGGCUGUAUCCAGGCACUCCGAGAGUGCCUUUGUACUGCUGGAGGGGCGGCAGGGUAGCCUAGUGGUUAGAGUGGAGGGGCAGCAGGGUAGCCUAGUGGUUAGAGUGGAGGGGCGGCAGGGUAGCCUAGUGGUUAGAGUGUAGGGGUGGCAGGGUAGCCUAGUGGUUAGAGUGGAGGGGUGGCAGGGUAGCCUAGUGGUUAGAGUGGAGGGGCGGCAGGGUAGCCUAGUGGUUAGAGUGGAGGGGCGGCAGGGUAGCCUAGUGGUUAGAGUGGAGGGGCGGCAGGGUAGCCUAGUGGUUAGAGUGGAGGGGUGGCAGGGUAGCCUAGUGGUUAGAGCGUUGGACUAGUAGACCGAAAGGUUGCAAGUUCUAAUCCCCGA